rnacentral:rRNA from 1 species
GGUCACCGGGUANNGGUAGCCUGCCCAGUGAUAAAAUUCAACGGCCGCAGUACCCUGACUGUGCUAAGGUAGCGUAAUCAGUUGGCUUUUAAAUGGAGUCGAGAAUGAAUGGGUCCAUGGGGGGGCGCUGUCUCUAUUUUGUUAAGUAGAAUUUGUUUAGUAGGUGAAAAUCCCUACCCUAGGAAAAAAGACGAGAAGACCCUUAGAAUCUGCACGACUGUAUAUUAUGUAUACUUAGUUUUUGUUGGGGCGACAACGGGGCAUAUAAAAUAACCAAAGACUUAGAAUUUUUGAACCCCCGGGCAUAGGAGAAGACAAGACGAGCAUGUUAAGUAAGAUUAGAUUACCUGAGGGAUAACAGCAUAAUUUUUAUAAGCUUGUGACCUCGAUGUUGGACUAGGGACCCUACGACUAGCCGUCGAAAUGGCAGGAUCGUGUCGGCCGGGUCC